CGAGGGGAGUGAAAAAGAACCUGAAACCGUGUACGUACAAGCAGUGGGAGCACCCUUUGGGGUGUGACUGCGUACCUUUUGUAUAAUGGGUCAGCGACUUAUAUUCUGUAGCAAGGUUAACCGUAUAGGGGAGCCGGAGGGAAACCGAGUCUUAACCGGGCGUUAAGUUGCAGGGUAUAGACCCGAAACCCGGUGAUCUAGCCAUGGGCAGGUUGAAGGUUGGGUAACACUAACUGGAGGACCGAACCGACUAAUGUUGAAAAAUUAGCGGAUGACCUGUGGCUGGGGGUGAAAGGCCAAUCAAACCGGGAGAUAGCUGGUUCUCCCCGAAAGCUAUUUAGGUAGCGCCUCGUGAAUUCAUCUCCGGGGGUAGAGCACUGUUUCGGCUAGGGGGCCAUCCCGGCUUACCAACCCGAUGCAAACUGCGAAUACCGGAGAAUGUUAUCACGGGAGACACACGGCGGGUGCUAACGUCCGUCGUGAAGAGGGAAACAACCCAGACCGCCAGCUAAGGUCCCAAAGUCAUGGUUAAGUGGGAAACGAUGUGGGAAGGCCCAGACAGCCAGGAUGUUGGCUUAGAAGCAGCCAUCAUUUAAAGAAAGCGUAAUAGCUCACUGGUCGAGUCGGCCUGCGCGGAAGAUGUAACGGGGCUAAACCAU
rnacentral:rRNA from 1 species